GAUGAACGCUGGCGGCGUGCCUAAUACAUGCAAGUCGAGCGAACAGAUGAGGAGCUUGCUCCUCUGACGUUAGCGGCGGACGGGUGAGUAACACGUGGAUAACCUACCUAUAAGACUGGGAUAACUUCGGGAAACCGGAGCUAAUACCGGAUAAUAUAUUGAACCGCAUGGUUCAAUAGUGAAAGACGGUUUUGCUGUCACUUAUAGAUGGAUCCGCGCCGCAUUAGCUAGUUGGUAAGGUAACGGCUUACCAAGGCAACGAUGCGUAGCCGACCUGAGAGGGUGAUCGGCCACACUGGAACUGAGACACGGUCCAGACUCCUACGGGAGGCAGCAGUAGGGAAUCUUCCGCAAUGGGCGAAAGCCUGACGGAGCAACGCCGCGUGAGUGAUGAAGGUCUUCGGAUCGUAAAACUCUGUUAUUAGGGAAGAACAAAUGUGUAAGUAACUAUGCACGUCUUGACGGUACCUAAUCAGAAAGCCACGGCUCUACGUG
rnacentral:rRNA from 1 species